UUCCAUCUUUGACACCAGAAGAAUUGUUUGUCCGAGUAUCUAGUUGUGCAAAUAUGAGCUUUCAACCCACAAUUACAAUAAAUACUAGGCUCGUACUCCAUAUUUGCACUCACCCAUGAUGAAUUCGAGGAAGAUGACAUCUUCAACACUCUUUUAUGUGUUGAUCUUG